rnacentral:rRNA from 1 species
UACGUAGGGUGCAAGCGUUAAUCGGAAUUACUGGGCGUAAAGCGUACGCAGGCGGCUUUGCAAGACAGGUGUGAAAUCCCCGGGCCUAACCUGGGAACUGCAUUUGUGACUGCAUGGCUAGAGUUUGUCAGAGGGGGGUGGAAUUCCACGUGUAGCAGUGAAAUGCGUAGAUAUCUGGAGGAACACCGGUGGCGAAGGCGGCAUCCUGGACCGGUAUUGACGCUAAGGCGCGAAAGCUAGGGGAGCGAACAGG